rnacentral:rRNA from 1 species
UACGUAGGGGGCAAGCGUUGUCCGGAAUCAUUGGGCGUAAAGAGCGUGUAGGUGGCUCGGUAAGUCCGCUGUGAAAGUCCAGGGCUCAACCCUGGAAAGCCGGUGGAAACUGUCGAGCUCGAGUCCGGAAGAGGCGAGUGGAAUUCCUGGUGUAGCGGUGAAAUUCGUAGAUAUCAAGCGGAACACCGGUGGCGAAGGCGGCCUUCUGGACAGUGACUGACGCUGAGACGCGAAAGCGUGGGGAGCAAACAGG